rnacentral:rRNA from 1 species
UUAAUUCCCGCACGGAGCCCACCCCUUUCCCUUGGUUCCCACCGGUAAGGCCGGGAACUCAAAGGAGACUGCCGGUGAUAAACCGGAGGAAGGUGGGGAUGACGUCAAGUCAUCAUGGCCCUUACGACUAGGGCUACACACGUGCUACAAUGGCAUAUACAAAGGGAAGCCACCUCGCGAGAGCAAGCUGACCUCAUAAAGUAGGUCGUAGUCCGGAUCGCAGUCUGCAACUCGACUCCGUGAAGUCGGAAUCGUUAGUAAUCGUGAAUCAGAAUGCCGCGGUGAAUACGUUCCCGGGCCUUGUACACACCGCCCGUCACACCAUGGGAGUGGGUUGCAACAGAAGUAGGUAGUUUAACCUUCGGGAGG